GUGGGUAUAGAUCAGUGGUAGAGCACAUGUUUAGCAUGCAUGAGGUACUGGCUUCAAUCGCCAGUACCUCCA
rnacentral:tRNA from 1 species